GCUGAACUCUGCAGGGCUCUCCAGGACCAGAGUUCCCCACCCCUGGUAUAUAAUAUAGAUUUAUGUUAUAUAAAUGUCUAAUACUUAUACUUCCAUUGAAGAUGAGACAGAAGCAGGCUCAGAGAGUGAGGGAGAGCUCACUGAGCAUCAGCCAAAUCAGACAAGUACAGUUUGUGGUCUGGAUCAUGUCAUCUGCAAUAGAUUCCAGUUGGAGCCUUUACUUGUGAUUGCCAUCAUAACGGUGAUACUGUAUAACUUCAACUGGUUCAUUCCGAGAAUCAACCCUGGUGGCACCAAAUGCCAUUUAAAGUCACAGAUCAGAUGCAAUUCAGGAAAGAGGGUGUAAAGAAAAAGCAUCAACCUGAAUCCCCU
ensembl:lncRNA